UACGUAGGGUGCGAGCGUUAAUCGGAAUUACUGGGCGUAAAGUGUGCGCAGGUGGCCGCGCAAGUCGAGUGUGAAAUCCCCGGGCUUAACUUGGGAAUUGCGCUCGAAACUACGUGGCUCGAGUAUGGCAGAGGAAGGUGGAAUUCCACGUGUAGCGGUGAAAUGACGUAGAGAUGUGGAGGAACACCGAUGGCGAAGGCAG
rnacentral:rRNA from 1 species